GUUUUGCUUCUCUAUCAUCACUUCACCUUCAUCACCACUCAGACACCACCCCUUCACCCCACAUCAGCCAAAACACUCAUCCCUUCCCUUCCUCCUCAAUCUCUUGUCUGCGAUACAAAACACCGGCGAAGGAGAGAGAGAACCAUGUUUGAAGAGAUACGCGCCGUGAGAGUAGAUAUAGAAAGAGGGAGCCAACAAUCGACGACUAAGAAGGUCAUAGCGGUGGUUCUAUGUUUUGGCGAUGGUGGUGACUUCAAGAAACGAAGACCCGAUUAAGGUUCAAGCGACAUUCCCGCUACCCCUUUUUACACUAUAAGUUUGACGUUUUUUUGAAGAUACCUUAACAAAUUGAGCCGUUCUAUGCUUUUUGGAGGUGUUUAAUCGUGUUUUCAUCUCGCCUUUGUGCUCGACUACUCAUUUAGUCAGAUGUAGCAAGUCUUGACUUAUAAAAGUGGACAAUAUAAAACAAAGCAAAAGCCACUUUCACAGUCAUCUCGGGUUUACCGGCCAAGAGUUGAUGAUCUCUACUACUAAGAAAUCCACGCCCGAUAGGUUAUAAUUUUCUUUUCUAACUUACCUUUCAUUAAAAGCACUUUCACAUGUUUUUAUUUGUAGCAUACUGCUUUGCAACUUGGACUAGAAAUGAGGGGUUUUUUUUUUGUAUUUUUCUUGCUCAGUAAUUUGGUAUGUUUGGAUACUGGAUUGGGUACGAGUCGCUAUAAAGAUGAGAUGCUAUCAAUAUAACACAAGGGUUUUCGCUUUUCAUGUAACAAGUGAAAAUUCUGUAAUUGUAAUCUACUAGGCUGCUCAUUCUGCUAAGGGUUACUGGGAAAUAUUUGAUAAUGUUUUGUUAUUUAAUUUUCAUGUUUAGCGGAAGGUAAACAUAGUUAUCACAUAUGUUUGAUGGAAGAUUGAACAAUAUGGUGAAGGGUCCUCGCGUUUUUAGUUUUUGGGCAACUAGAAAAGCCGCAGGACGAGGACGACUAGCUCAACGAUGCUAACGACUCAACGAUGCUAACGACUCAACGAUGCUAGCGGCGUGAAUCGUCUACGACUUUCAAAGAUUUCAAUCAAUAAUUGGAAAAAGAGAAACCUAAGGCGACUUCAAGUGCUAAAAAAACACCAAAACCGCCACGAUCCCAGGCGCACAAAGCUUUUUAACUGUAUGUUGCAGACCCGUAGCUGAUCAGGGAGCUUGCCAUGGUUAAGAGUGCGAGAAUGGAGCGUAUGAAAGGCUACCUCAUCCUCAUCCUCGCAUAUUCAAAGAAGGGAUGUCAAGAUUGAUGGGAAGGAGAAACACCUUUUGAAAAGCUGCCUACUAGGAAACAACCGCAUUUGGAAGCUGUAGUUCAAGAAGCCACGUCGCCUAGGACAAUGUCUUUUGCGCAAGUCCUGCAACUAACAUGCAUAAUGUUAGUCACGUAACUUGCAACCAAAACAUUUGUAUAAAACCUAGAUACUAACUUUUUGCUCCAUCUUAUGUGAUUAACCAUAUCGAUGUAACUCAAUGAUAACUAGCUGGAUGUAAAUAUAAAUCUAGCACCCGCCGCAUCGCGGCGGGUUACAUUUCUAGUUA